rnacentral:lncRNA from 1 species
GCUUGUGUACCGUCCCGUCCCCGGGCGUUUACCAAAAGUCAAAGUCAAUGCAAAGUAAGACGUAGAUCGCCAAGGUAAGACAUCGCCCUAAAGUUGGAUGGAGGCGCUGUGGGACCCUCCGCACAGAGUAAGCGAUCGGGUCAAAGGGGCACGUGACAAGGCCCACGUGCUCAUUAAAGACCUCCAAAGAAAGGCUGCAUGCAUG